GGGGAUGGCCUCCUGGGGACCCCAGCUGCGCGGGUAGAAGCAGGACUUGAAGCAUUCUCUCUCUUCCUUCCUUGGACACACCUACUCGGAGGCUCCUGGCCCCGGGAGGCCCCCAGCGGAGCUGGAGGAGGGCCCAGCACCAGGGGUGGGUGAGAUGCCAGCACCCCCUUGGAGAUCAGAACUGCUAGUCGGGUCAGCUGACCCCAUCUCUGGCCACCUGAGUGACCCUCCUGGGGGACUGGACCUGGAGCUUGGGCUCCUCGGGUGCCAGCGUCACUGCUCUGGUCUCCCCAGUCUGCCCAGAGCCCCCUAAAGCCCACCGUGUGCUCAGCCAUGGGACUCCUCAUCCGAAGCCUCCGAGCCCUCCUUUUCCCAUCCCUCCACCACCCGGCCCGCUGGUACCAGAGCUGCCCUGCAGGACAAGCCUCAGCCUGGGCCACAGGCAAGGCCGCUUGACUCAGCAGUCCCUGCUGUGCCCACAGCCGGCGGGGAGGUUGCAGGUGCCUCCCCUCCCUGCCCAGGCAUCAAGUCACAGGGCUUGAAUACUUCCCAGGACAGGGAGCUCAUCAGCCCCAGGCAGCAGCCUGCCCCAGGCAGAAACGCUUCGACUUCCGAGACAAGUCCUUUGUGAUGAACUGACACCUGAACACCGGUUAAUUCCAUCUGUUUACACAUUUUCGUCAUCCGCAUCAUUAUUAAUACUGUCUACAUACCAGCACACUGCAGUAUGUCAGCGAAUCCUUCACCACUUGUGGAGCUGGGGCCUGUCUCUCCAUCAUGUACUGGUAGAUGGGAAACCUGAGGUCCAGAGGAAGUGUGUCACCUAAGUGUGUGACACGGCCAGGAAGUCACAGAACGUGGGCUCAGAUCCAGAGCCCAGGCCCUUGCCAGCCAGGGGUGUGCCCAUCCAGGUUCCACCAUCUGCUUAGCUCCCCUCUCCAGCGUGUUCUUACUUCUCUGCCAGGGGCCACUACCCCACAAAGCUCACACCUUCUCCCCCAGACCCUGCAGAUGGAUCAACUACUCCUCCAGGAAGUCCUCCUGAGACAGCCAAAGGGUUGUGAUGGCGGCUGCCGGCGUGGAGCCAGCCCGACUGCCUGGAGUGAGGACUCCUUCUCCCCCACACCUGCUGAGCACCAGCCCUCUGAUCCUUCUCUUCAGGGGACCCCAGACUUCAUCUUUGCAGUAAUUGCAUACCAGGGGUAGCCAAGUCAGAAAGAUCCAGGUCCUCACUGCAGAGGCCUGCCAGACACCGCUUUGGCAGAAUGAAAAAUAAAACCCAAGGCCUAGACUGAUCUUCCAGAAUCUUCUGGUCCAUUCCCAGCCUCCAAGCACUGGAUGUUGGAUUGGCGGGGUAGAGGGAUCAGACAGUUUCCUCCUCCUCCCUUCCUGUGACACCAGCUUCUUGUUCUUCCCUCCAGAAAGGUGGCAAAAGUUAGUUACAUGUAUUCUUCAGCUGAUGCUAGGAAUAAACAC
ensembl:lncRNA